rnacentral:rRNA from 1 species
AUUGAACGCUGGUGGCAUGCCUUACACAUGCAAGUCGAAUGGUAACAGGUUAAGCUGACGAGUGGCGAACGGGUGUGAAUUAUAUCGUAACGUGCCUAGUCGCGGGGGCUAACUGCUCUAAAGAGCAGCUAAUACCGUAUACGACCUGAGGGAGAAAGCGGGGGAUGGCAAGACCGCGCGCAAUUGGAGGGUCCGACAUCAGAUUAGGCAGUUGGUGGGGUAAGAGCCCGCCAAGCCAAGGGUCUGUAGCUGGUCUGAGAGGACGACCAGCCGCACUGGCACUGAGACACGACCCAGACUGCUACGGGAGGCAGCAGUGGGGAAUUUUGGACAAUGGGCGAAAGCCUGAUCCAGCCAUGCCGCGUGCGGGAAGAAGGCCUUCGGGUUGUAAACCGCUUUUGUCAGGGAAGAAAAGGUUCUGGUUAAUACCUGGGACUCAUGACGGUACCUGAAGAACAAGCACCGGCUAACUACGUGCCAGCAGCCGCCGUAA